AGUGAACGCUGGCGGUAGGCCUAACACAUGCAAGUCGAACGGCAGCACAGUAAGAGCUUGCUCUUACGGGUGGCGAGUGGCGGACGGGUGAGGAAUACAUCGGAAUCUACUUUUUCGUGGGGGAUAACGUAGGGAAACUUACGCUAAUACCGCAUACGACCUACGGGUGAAAGCAGGGGAUCUUCGUACCUUGCGCGAUUGAAUGAGCCGAUGUCGGAUUAGCUAGUUGGCGGGGUAAAGGCCCACCAAGGCGACGAUCCGUAGCUGGUCUGAGAGGAUGAUCAGCCGCACUGGAACUGAGACACGGUCCAGACUCCUACGGGAGGCAGCAGUGGGGAAUAUUGGACAAUGGGCGCAAGCCUGAUCCAGCCAUACCGCGUGGGUGAAGAAGGCCUUCGGGUUGUAAAGCCCUUUUGUUGGGAAAGAAAAGCAGCAGGUUAAUACCCCGCUGUUCUGACGGUACCCAAAGAAUAAGCACCGGCUAACUUCGUG
rnacentral:rRNA from 1 species